AUUGAACGCUGGCGGCAGGCCUAACACAUGCAAGUCGAACGGAGUGGCGGACGGGUGAGUAAUGUCUGGGAAACUGCCUGAUGGAGGGGGAUAACUACUGGAAACGGGCGCUAAUACCGCAUACUAUCAGAUGAGCCUAGGUCGGAUUAGCUAGUUGGUGGGGUAAAGGCCUACCAAGGCGACGAUCCGUAACUGGUAUGAGAGGAUGAUCAGUCACACUGUAACUGAGACACGGGCCAGACUCCUACGGGGGGCAGCAGUGGGGAAGCUACCGCAAUGGACGAAAGUCUGACGGAGCAACGCCGGGUGAGUGAUGACGGCCUUCGGGUGGUAAAGCUCUGUUAAUCGGGACGCGGUAACGAAAUAGAAAGCCACGGCUAACUACGUGCCAGCAGCCGCGGUAAUUC
rnacentral:rRNA from 1 species